rnacentral:misc_RNA from 1 species
AUCUUAUAUGUCAACAGUUGAAAUGUGAUCUAUGAUCUCAUAGCUCAAAUAAGAAUUUCAGAACCAAAUCACAAAAAUAGGGCAAAGAUUACAGAUAUCACCUUAUACACAAAUUUGAUACAGGCAAGUAGGUUUCCAUAACAUUAGAGAAGCCAUCUUAGUUGAUCCAGUUACAAAAUUCAGCAAUCAUGAUGGCGAAGGACGAGGAAGUCGCUUAGCAAUUUCCUCAAACAGUUGAUUUAUGUUGUCUGCAGUCUUGGCAGAAGUCUCAAUAAA